UAUGUUGUCUCACGGUUGUGUUGCUAUCUUGCAGUUGCUGCUUUGUUCGCAAGCCAGCGUUAUCAACGAUGUUCCUUGGAUCUACAGGUCUUCACAAUCUUGCUCCGAUUCCACGUGCGAGUGCCCUGUCUCUUUCGGAGACAGUUCCGGUUUCUCGCCCUAUGUUCCCGACGAGUCAGCCAUCAAUCUUCUAGCGUCUGCAUAUCAUGUGACAUGUGACGUCUCACCGACAUCAGCGACACCCCCUUUUAAAAGCCUUCUCCAGAACUUUUUCGCCAGUGGGAACUGUGGCAGCAGCUGGAGUCUUCACAAUCUUGCUCCGAUUCCACGUGCGAGUGCCCUGUCUCUUUCGGAGACAGUUCCGGUUUCUCGCCCUAUGUUCCCGACGAGUCAGCCAUCAAUCUUCUAGCGUCUGCAUAUCAUGUGACAUGUGACGUCUCACCGACAUCAGCGACACCCCCUUUUAAAAGCCUUCUCCAGAACUUUUUCGCCAGUGGGAACUGUGGCAGCAGCUGGAGUCUUCACAAUCUUGCUCCGAUUCCACGUGCGAGUGCCCUGUCUCUUUCGGAGACAGUUCCGGUUUCUCGCCCUAUGUUCCCGACGAGUCAGCCAUCAAUCUUCUAGCGUCUGCAUAUCAUGUGACAUGUGACGUCUCACCGACAUCAGCGACACCCCCUUUUAAAAGCCUUCUCCAGAACUUUUUC